CGCUGGCGGCGUGCCUAAUACAUGCAAGUCGAACGGUCUUUCUAUGGAAGCUUGCUUCCACUGGGAAGAUAGUGGCGAACGGGUGAGUAACACGUGGGUAACCUGCCCAUAAGAGGGGGAUAACAUCCGGAAACGGGUGCUAAUACCGCAUAGUUUUCUUGAUCGCAUGAUUGAGAAAGGAAAGACGGCCUUUGUGCUGUCGCUUAUGGAUGGACCCGCGGCGUAUUAGUUAGUUGGUGAGGUAACGGCUCACCAAGACGAUGAUACGUAGCCGACCUGAGAGGGUGAUCGGCCACAUUGGGACUGAGACACGGCCCAAACUCCUACGGGAGGCAGCAGUAGGGAAUCUUCCGCAAUGGACGAAAGUCUGACGGAGCAACGCCGCGUGAGUGAAAGAAGGUUUUCGGAUCGUAAAACUCUGUUGUCAGAGAAGAACAAGUUGGAGAGUAACUGCUCCAGCCUUGACGGUAUCUGACCAGAAAGCCACGGCUAACUACGUGCCAGCCGCCGC
rnacentral:rRNA from 1 species